GCUCAGGACGAACGCUGGCGGCGUGCCUAAUACAUGCAAGUCGAGCGGACAGAAGGGAGCUUGCUCCCGGAUGUUAGCGGCGGACGGGUGAGUAACACGUGGGUAACCUGCCUGUAAGACUGGGAUAACUCCGGGAAACCGGAGCUAAUACCGGAUAGUUCCUUGAACCGCAUGGUUCAAGGAUGAAAGACGGUUUCGGCUGUCACUUACAGAUGGACCCGCGGCGCAUUAGCUAGUUGGUGAGGUAACGGCUCACCAAGGCGACGAUGCGUAGCCGACCUGAGAGGGUGAUCGGCCACACUGGGACUGAGACACGGCCCAGACUCCUACGGGAGGCAGCAGUAGGGAAUCUUCCGCAAUGGACGAAAGUCUGACGGAGCAACGCCGCGUGAGUGAUGAAGGUUUUCGGAUCGUAAAGCUCUGUUGUUAGGGAAGAACAAGUGCAAGAGUAACUGCUUGCACCUUGACGGUACCUAACCAGAAAAGCCACGGCUAACUACGUGCCAGCAGCCGCGGUAAUACGUAGGUGAAAAAAAGUUGUCCGGAAUUAUUGGGCGUAAAGGGCUCGCAGGCGGUUUCUUAAGUCUGAUGUGAAAGCCCCCGGCUCAACCGGGGAGGGUCAUUGGAAAC
rnacentral:rRNA from 1 species